GUGGGGAAUAUUGCACAAUGGGCGAAAGCCUGAUGCAGCGACGCCGCGUGGGGGAUGAAGGCCUUCGGGUUGUAAACUCCUUUCGCUAGGGACGAAGAGAAAUUGACGGUACCUGGAGAAGAAGCACCGGCUAACUACGUGCCAGCAGCCGCGGUAAUACGUAGGGUGCGAGCGUUGUCCGGAAUUACUGGGCGUAAAGAGCUCGUAGGUGGUUUGUCGCGUCGUCUGUGAAAUCCCGGGGCUUAACUCCGGGCGUGCAGGCGAUACGGGCAUAACUUGAGUGCUGUAGGGGAGACUGGAAUUCCUGGUGUAGCGGUGAAAUGCGCAGAUAUCAGGAGGAACACCAAUGGCGAAGGCAGGUCUCUGGGCAGUAACUGACGCUGAGGAGCGAAAGCAUGGGUAGCGAACAGGAUUAGAAACCCCGGUAGUC
rnacentral:rRNA from 1 species